CUUGGUCAUUUAGAGGAAGUAAAAGUCGUAACAAGGUUUCCGUAGGUGAACCUGCGGAAGGAUCAUUACUGAUUUGCUUAAUUGCACCACAUGUGUUUUUUAUUGAACAAAUUUCUUUGGUGGCGGGAGCAAUCCUACCGCCAGAGGUUAUAACUAAACCAAACUUUUUGUUUACAGUCAAACUUGAUUUAUUAUUACAAUAGUCAAAACUUUCAACAACGGAUCUCUUGGUUCUCGCAUCGAUGAAGAACGCAGCGAAAUGCGAUACGUAAUAUGAAUUGCAGAUAUUCGUGAAUCAUCGAAUCUUUGAACGCACAUUGCGCCCUUUGGUAUUCCAAAGGGCAUGCCUGUUUGAGCGUCAUUUCUCCCUCAAACCCCCGGGUUUGGUGUUGAGCAAUACGCUAGGUUUGUUUGAAAGAAUUUAACGUGGAAACUUAUUUUAAGCGACUUAGGUUUAUCCAAAAACGCUUAUUUUGCUAGUGGCCACCACAAUUUAUUUCAUAACUUUGACCUCAAAUCAGGUAGGACUACCCGCUGAACUUAAGCAUAUCAAUAAGCGGAGGAA
rnacentral:rRNA from 1 species